rnacentral:lncRNA from 1 species
UAUAGGACCACUUCCCAAACAGGCUGUUUUCUGUUCUGGAGAAAAACAAGGCAUUUCAGUAUUUAAAUUAGCUGUUUUUAUUUCAUAAACAGGAAGAGAGACUCUUAAUGAACCUCAACUUCUGCAUGUUUCACCCUUUUCUAGAAAAGGACCGAGGAAUAGGUACUGUAGGAAAGGAUAUGAACAGGAUUGCCAGAAAUCUUUCUUAGCUCUCAUACAAAGUUGCGGGCAAUGGCCAAAACUUUGGAGAACUCUCCUUCUCUCCGCCGCAGGAUAUAAGGUAUGGGCGUUUUUAUUCUAGUUCCUAACGGAUUCCCGUUGUCUUCUAUGAGCACCACAUUGUUAGAAUCAAACCUAGGUGUCAUGUGAGGACCAGGCAUCUUGUGUCCUACAAUCAAAGCCUUCUUCUUUUCUCCUUUGAUAGCCAGAAGGAUCUUAUCUCCGACUUUGCCAACUCCAGUCUUGUUAUACACGUGGAUACACUUUGGUGGCCGGUGGUAUGGCGCGUUUCCCAAGGCACUGUUGUCCACCACUCGCACGCGAGUAAGUUUCUGUAUUGCUCGGCAUGCUCCACUGACACUGAAGUGUCGCUGGAGGACUGUGUUGCUCAGAUGGGUUAACGAAAAUCCCAAUCUCCUGUGCAAGAGAGCCAUUCGGAUUCUGGUAAGCUGCCCUCAGCGGCACCGCGGCCCUCCGCCCGCCAGCAAUACGCACGCGCGCUGCGCCGCUCGCCGGCGACACGCACGCG